GGUUGUUUUGUUUUGUUUUGUUUUGUUUUUCAUCUUUGCAGCUGCCUGUAACCUGAAGAGAACUUGUUCCUAAAAACCUGCUUUUUAUCCCUAGGUACCAGAAGUGAAAUCAUUGUGAUUAGCAACUAGAGGAAUGUUCUACAAGAGGAGAAACAGCGCAAACAAGGUUAUUCCUAGAGGAGUCAUCGUCUGGUGCUUUGCACAAUGUAGGAAACAGAGAUGACAAACAGGCAGACAUGGUAGCUGCACCUCCCAGCUGUACUGUUGGAGCACCUGCUGAGCACCUGAGGACUUCCUCCAGCAAUUACAUUUGGUUGCAAAGCAUGAAUUGGUUUUACUUGGGCAGGUGA
rnacentral:lncRNA from 1 species